AUCAACCAAUCAUCUUCUGCAGAUCUAUAUCAUCCGCUGCUUAACUGCUAGUUUAAAUUAAACAAGUAGGAUGACCUGAAAGUGCAAAAUGCUUUUAGAUUGUCCUAGUAGUUUAAAUUAAACAGGUAGGAUGCCCUGAAGGUGCAAAAUGCUUUCAGAUUGUCCUACUAGUGUGAAUUAAACAGGUAGGAUGACCUGAAGUUGCAAAAUGAUUUUAGUCUGUGCUA